rnacentral:lncRNA from 1 species
GGUGGCAACAACUUCUGAUAAACAGACUUGUAGGUUAUGAUACUAUUUUGAUGAAUAGUUUGUUGAAUGCUCUUGGUCAAGGUAUUUUAUAUUUGACCUAUCAUGUAUUGGUUAAUUGUAGAGCGAUUUAGAUCACAUAUAAGAUUGAACAAAAACUGCAGUCUCUAAUCUACAUCUUAAUUCUUUCAAUAACUCUGCUGGUUGGUAGUAACUUUAUAUUAUUAAUGUUUCUUAUUUUAGGAUGUGUCAAUUUGUUAGUGAACUCCUCUUUUAUCAAACGGUAUUCUCUAAGAGCAGUUCUUCAAGUACAUCAAAAUUUUAGAUCUGUAUUCACAGGUACAGAUAGACAUGAUUUAAAUGCUACUUUAUUUACAACCCAGGUUGUCAUUGAUAUAGUCUUGAAUCAGAAUAGGCUAGCACUCAUAGUUAGCAGUACAAGCUGGUGAGUUCUUACUAAACUAGCUGCUCAUUAUAUAUAUGUGUUAUGUAUGAGCUCUGUGUUUGUAGUACUGAUUUCGAGGUGAAUAUAACCUUUAUAUUUUUGGUGUUUGUUAUUUGCUCUAUUUUAUUCUAGUGUUGCAUCAUUCAAUUUUGGGAUUGCAUUUGAUCAUAUAUGUAUUUGAUCAUAUACCAUUGCAUUGCAUUUGAUCAUAUAUGUACAUGGUUGCAUACUGUGAAUUGAGAAAUUUAUGUCUAUGUAUUCUAAAUUUUGGGAUAGUUCUAGUGGCUGUCUUGUCUACAUUUGCCUGGAAAUAUUCAGCACCGGAUGUUUAUGCUGCACUUUGGUCAACUCAAAAUUGUUCCCUGUACCUACCUAGACCAGAUCACUUAAGCUUGUUCAUCCCUGUCAGAUCAAAAUCUUUCCUUUACCACUCUCAGGGUGACUUGCUGCUAUCUGCAAAUCCUCUUCAAGCAUCCGUGAUAAAUAUACUUGAUAACUGAUAUACUUUUCCUGCAGAAACAUAACUACAAUGCAUAUGUUUCGGAUUUGGUUAUUUGCCUUUCCAAAAUGAUUUGAUUAAUGCUGCUUUUAUUUUGAAUAUAACUCAAAACUAUUCAUCCAGAGUAACAAUAUAUUUACAGUGACUGAAGCAAUGAAUUUUAUUGCAUCAUGCAUAUCAGGAUUACAGCUUGACGUAAAGUAUUUUUGCAUACAACAUAUUGAUAUAAGCUCAUACGUUACAUUGGCCUAGGCAACUGUGCAAUUGCGCACCUUCUGUAAGUUCACUCCUUUCCGUCCACCUAUAAAGGUUAUCUACAGCAACUGCCACCUAUAAAGGUUAUCUACACCUUUCCGUCCACCUGUUGUAAGUUCACACCUUUCCGUCCACCUAUAAAGGUUAUCCACACCUUUCCGUCCACCUAUAAACUUACACAGGUGUGCAAUUGCCCUUAUAAGGGCAAUUUUUGGUUUUAAAUACAUAUGAAAAAAUGUUAUCUAUUUA